UGGGGUUGUAGCUCAGUGGUAGAGCGCUUGCCUGGCAUGCAUGAGGCCCUGAGUUCAAUCCUCAGCACCACAU